rnacentral:rRNA from 1 species
AUGAACGCUGGCGGCGUGCCUAAUACAUGAAAGUCGAGCGAACAGAUAAGGAGCUUGCUCCUUUGACGUUAGCGGCGGACGGGUGAGUAACACGUGGGUAACCUACCUAUAAGACUGGGAUAACUUCGGGAAACCGGAGCUAAUACCGGAUAACAUUUGGAACCGCAUGGUUCUAAAGUGAAAGAUGGUUUUGCUAUCACUUAUAGAUGGACCCGCGCCGUAUUAGCUAGUUGGUAAGGUAACGGCUUACCAAGGCGACGAUACGUAGCCGACCUGAGAGGGUGAUCGGCCACACUGGAACUGAGACACGGUCCAGACUCCUACGGGAGGCAGCAGUAGGGAAUCUUCCGCAAUGGGCGAAAGCCUGACGGAGCAACGCCGCGUGAGUGAUGAAGGGUUUCGGCUCGUAAAACUCUGUUAUUAGGGAAGAACAAAUGUGUAAGUAACUGUGCACGUCUUGACGGUACCUAAUCAGAAAGCCACGGCUAACUACGUG